AAGACAGUCACCAUAGAAACACAAACAGAGGUGCCUUACUCCAUAUUGAAAAGCAUGGACAUGAAUUAAAUUCCAGAUUUAACAGUAGUGUGAAUGAAAGUUAUUCAAAGGAGGAUCUGGACUGGCAUCCAGAUGAAAGUUAUGUUAGUGACAUUGCAGAUAAAGAGAUAGAAGAAAACCAUUGAAUGAAUGUACAGAGAGAAAAUUUAUCGUUUUUGAAAAACAGUUGGACAAAUUGUGUGAAAAGUGUAAUUUAUGUGGGAGUAGACUUCUGAUUAGGCAGAGAACAAAUCAUCAGUGCAAAAUUCUUGUUGUUAUGGCAACCAAAAUAAAAGUAGAAAACAACAAGUAGAAAACCACUAUACCUUGGAGGGGAUGCCAGAUGUGAUUCACCAGAUCACACUGUAAAGUAUGGAUCAUACUCUCUGACUGAUUUAGAAUGAAAUAUGAUUCUGGAUUGCCAGUUAUUUCAGAGUAAUGAGGUAAAGAAUUCUUACUGGAUGGAAAUGCAAGGUUUGAUGCCCUGUUUACACUUUAUCAAUGUCUGAACAUUUCCCACUUUGUAACAGAUAGACAUGUCCAGGUGAAAAAGUAUAUGAAAGAGCAACAACCAAAAAUUACUUACUAGUUUGAUGUCUGGCAUGUUGCUAAAGUGUAAUGGUUAGUCCUGUACAGACUAUUGUGUGGCAAGCCUGGUUAACUGAAGGAUUUUUCACGAGAUACUGUAUUGACCCCAGACCAUACAGUUCAGACGAGAUACUGUAUUGACCCCAGACCAUACAGUUCAGACGAGAUACUGUAUUGACCCCAGACCAUACAGUUCAGACGAGAUACUGUAUUGACCCUAGACCAUACAGAGCUGUGAAGUGUGCUACCUGAUGCAAUUCAGAAGAUUAAAUGUGAGAGAUAAUGGAAGACAUGAAUGGAAAUGCUCAGAUAUGCUGGAAAAGUUAUAAAACAAGAAUACUUUGAUAGUUACUAGGUAAAUUCAGAGUUAGAUAAACUUGUUCUUUCUAACUAUUCCUAGGUACACAUGUAACGUAUAUUGCUCUGUGCAAGUGUAACACAUAACUUGUCCUAAAUGUUACAGAUUGACUGGGUCAAGUAUAAUAGAUUAACUUCUACUCAGUUUAAAAUAACUAUAUUUGGAAUGUAAUGAAAUGGACCUUUAAUUCCCUUUGAAUCAAGCUACUGUAUUUUGUGCCUGAUAAAGGGACGUCUUUUCUUAAAGGUAGAUAAUCAGAUUUUGGCUAAGUAACGGAUUUGUAUUAAACUUUAACAUCUGAUCAUUUACACUCAGUUAUGUUCAGUUAGUGCUUAAUACAAGUUAGGUUUUCACUGGAGAUAUUUUUAAUAAUUGGUUUUCCUAUUGCAGUUGCCCAACCAAGAUCGAGUUAUUUUAUCAUAAGUAUAAAUGUGAUAAACAUACUUUACCUAAGAAAAUGUAUAACUAACCGAUAUAUUGUAUUAUAUUCGUAAAAUAAUUGCAUUAACAAUUACAUAUAUAGAUUGAAUUCAUUAGAAAUGCAAGUUUGAAAGAAUGGAAAAAAAUGAAAUUCAGAAGCUACAUGCUUUUAAAACCCACCUUUUGAUUCAGAUUGUUAAAUAUUUGGUAUAUCUAUCCAAUGCGAAUGUAAAACUCAGAAUUAUAUGGAAAUAAAAAGAAAUACCAAGCAUUUUAAAUAUUUUCAUAUUAAAGGGGAGUAAUUAAAAUUUUUAUGAAAAUCAAUAAAGUAUACAUUUCUAACAGGGAUCUAACUGUAAGUAAUGGGUAUUUUUGUUUCUUAAAUAAAUCUCUAACAGAAUAUACAAAAAGUAAAAAAUGUCACUAAAUUUUGCUUAGAUGUGAUUGACCACCUUUAAAGUGUUUACUGCUUCAGUUUUCUUUAGGCUGCAUUGAAAGUGAAAAAAGUCACAUCAUAAGUAGCUGCUUGAUACAAAUGACUGCUAAGACAGGUUGGACUGUAUCAUAUUCUUUGUUAUAUUUAUGUUAAUAUAGACAACAAAAUCUGGAAAAGGCCACCCACUUAAUUCUCUUCACUUAUAAAAAUUGUUAUUAACUUUAUAGUAACAUUUAAGACUGUAUUGGUAUAAAAAUUUAUUACCACACUGAAAGAAACUUUCAUUUGUUUCUAUUUCAUAUAUGUUAUUAAUGUAAACUAUAGUGAUUUGAAAGUUUCAGUGAAGUUAGAAACUUAUAUUAACAGACUAUUUUGACUGGAUGUAUGUCCUUGUUUAAAAGUCCCUUUAAUGUGUGUGUGCUUGACACAUCUAGAGUUCUGCUAUCAUACUUAAGUAAUAGAUAUCCAAGCUCAUUUACCACC